CCCUUAGAUGUUCUGGGCCGCACGCGCGCUACACUGAUUCAUGCAACAAGUUUUGUCCUUGGCUGAUAGGCCUGGGUAAUCUUUGAACGUGAAUCGUGAUGGGGAUAGAUGAUUGCAAUUAUUCAUCUUCAACGAGGAAUUCCUAGUAAACGCAAGUCAUCAGCUUGCAUUGAUUACGUCCCUGCCCUUUGUACACACCGCCCGUCGCACCUACCGAUUGAAUGGUCCGGUGAAGCCUCGGGAUUGUGGCGAGUUCCCUUUAUUGGGAGUUUGUCGCGAGAACUUGUCUAAACCUUAUCAUUUAGAGGAAGGUGAAGUCGUAACA
rnacentral:rRNA from 1 species